GUAACAUCAUAGGUUCCUUAGAUAAAUAUCUUCAUUUAGUUAUCUGGAUCCAACUUAUAAUCAUUUGUAAGUUAAUAAAAUAAAAUAUUCCAACUAUUUCACUAUGGCACUUUAGUAUAGUUAAUUUCAGGAAGACUAAUCAAAAAAUCAUAAUUAUUAUUUCUUAAAUGCAAUACU